GAUUGUUUAGUGAUUAUAGUGUUAUCUUAUUCUCGUAAAGGAUUUGGACGAGACGUGUAUGCCCGAAGACGUUCAGAAAGUCACGUGGUGUUACAAAGCGAAUAAGGGAUGAAUCGAGUAAGCGAAGCGAAGUGGCGAAUAGAGUAUAGCUAGAGAUGGUCUAGAGAUUACGAGAUGCAUUGAUUGUGAAAGUUGAAAGAUGAGAUAGAGAUGUGAGACUGGAGUCAGAUUUAAGGCAAGUAUCCUGCACCCUGCUUUUGGAUAUAUUGCAAAUAUUCUGAUUCAUUCUUUUGAUGUGUUGCAAGUAUCCUAAACCUUUCUUUUGGAUAUCUUGCAAUUAUUCUGAUCCAUUCUUUUCGUAUGUGUUGCAAAUAUUCGUUCCUCUCUUUUUCAUAUUUGAAAGUGUAAAUAUUUUAUCCAUCCUUUUCUAAUCUUCAAAAAAAAAAAAAUUCAGAUAAUUCCAGUUUACAAAUUAAUUCGAAGUUCAGAUUGUCAUUGAAGCAUGUGUUGCUCAGUGAUGGUUAGGACCUAGAAUGACUUGGGAUCUUCUUGAUUAUUCAACCCGCCAUUGUCAUGCUGGUUUAGCAGGCUAAAUUCAGUUGCUUAGCCGAUAAUGGAGGAUACUGAAUAGUUAAGGAUUUCCUGAACUAUGAUUUAUGAAAGGAUGGAUCGUGGCUUAUGAAAAGAUGAAUUGAAAAUUAUUCUGUUGUUGAUGAUAUUUAUGAUGAUGUUCUGUUAAUUUACAUUGGCUUCUUGAAUUGAAUUAGAGAAUUGGAUUAUUGUUUUUAUAUAAACCUGUGGACCAGAUUCGUGGUCAUGUUAGGCCAAUGAGUGCCUUGGAUCCAGUGAUAGAGCAUGGCGGGGCCUGCUCGGGGUUAGUGCGGAACUGAUCAGCUGCCUAACCUUGGUUUUAAUUAAAAUGUGAUAGUCCAAUUCAAUAAUUCUUUGGAAAGAUUGAAUUUCUCAGUUUAAAUGCUGCAAGGUAUUGUAAAUCAUUCUAUACAAUACCAUGAACUCAUGAACUCAGGUUGAAUCCUCUUAUAUCUUGAACUCGUGAACUUCUGUUAUAUCAUUUCAGAACUAUCAUUGUUUAUUAUUACUUGCUGAGCAUUGUUGCUCACCCUUGCUAUUCCUUUCUAACCAUUUCAGAAAGGCUUAAAGAUGAGAUGAUUGAUUGAGAUUGUGAAUAAGGCUAAUGCUAGGCGAGGAGACAGAGUUGAGAAUCCAGUGGUCGAGGAGUGUUCAGGAAAGUUGAUGAGGUUGGUGCAAGCUAGAGUUGAGCUAUGGAAAUUCAGAUGUAAGUCAUAGCUGGAAUAGAUUGACAGUGAUUCUUCUUAUCGAAGAUGAUCUGAUUUGGUAAGAGAUGUUGUGUAAUAAUAGUGGUUGAUUCUAAUUUCAAUACUGUAACCUGGAAGCGAUCCUGUUGGUUUGGGGGUGAAGAUGUUCUCUUUUAAAUCUUUUAUUUAACGUCUUUCAAAUCUUUUAUUAAAUGUUUUCAAGUUUUAAAUUAUUUGGAUUCAUUAUCU
rnacentral:lncRNA from 1 species